rnacentral:rRNA from 1 species
GACAAAGGGUGCAAACGUUGCUCGGAAUCACUGGGCGUAAAGGGCGUGUAGGCGGGAGGGAAAGUCAGUGGUGAAAUCCCCAGGCUCAACCUGGGAACUGCAUUUGAAACUCCCUUUCUUGAGUACCGGAGAGGAAAGUGGAAUUCCUGGUGUAGAGGUGAAAUUCGUAGAUAUCAGGAGGAACACCAGUGGCGAAGGCGGCUUUCUGGACGGUAACUGACGCUGAGACGCGAAAGCGUGGGGAUCAAACAGG